CAGCAAUUAUUUUGGCAAAAGCCUUGGUUCUGGAGUUGAAGCGGCUGUGGUGGAUGGGGUUCCGGAUGGCAAUGUAGCGAUCCAGCGAGAUGGCACAGAGGUGCAUGAUGGAUGCCGUGGAGAAGAGCACGUCCAGUGACUAAAAGAGGACUCAGUACUCUUGCAAAAGUCUCCUGACUGCUAAGUGAAAUACAAGACUUCCUCAUGGAUCUUGAAGGGAGUGUCUUUACUUAUACAACCUGGAAUGUUGAGCUCAUUCUGGACCUCUCAGCCUUCUAGAACCAUGCAAUUGUAGUGAGGUGGGAGCUUGACGUGAACCUUCUGAAAAUCAUGCUGGAACAACAUCCCUCAACCUUGCUGUUCACAGGUGAUGGUCCUGAGCAAGCUGGGUGUUGCAGCACCAGAGCCCUGUGUCCUGAUGACUGUAAACCUGAGAAAGAAGGAGAAAGAAAGUAAAGAAAAACAAGUAAGCGAGGAAGGUGAUGGCAAAGAAUCCAUGCAUUAUAGGUUUCGCUUUAUAUAAGAUAAA